rnacentral:rRNA from 1 species
UACGUAGGGCGCGAGCGUUGUCCGGAUUUAUUGGGCGUAAAGAGCUCGUAGGCGGCUCAUCGCGUCUGCCGUGAAAACCUGUGGCUCAACUACAGGCUUGCGGUUGAUACGGGUGGGCUGGAGUUCGGUAGGGGAGACUGGAAUUCCUGGUGUAGCGGUGAAAUGCGCAGAUAUCAGGAGGAACACCAAUGGCGAAGGCAGCACUCUGGGACGUGACUGACGCUGAGACGCGAAAGCGUGGGGAGCAAACAGG